rnacentral:rRNA from 1 species
UAUCAAUAAGCGGAGGAAAAGAAACUAACAAGGAUUCCCCUAGUAACGGCGAGUGAAGCGGGAAGAGCUCAAAUUUAAAAUCUGGCAAUCUUUGGUUGUCCGAAUUGUAAUCUAGAGAAGCGUUUUCCGCGCUGGACUGUGUACAAGUUUCCUGGAUACGGAACAUCAUAGAGGGUGAGAAUCCCGUCCUUGACACAGACUCCCAGUGCUAUGUGAUGCGCUCUCGACGAGUCGAGUUGUUUGGGAUUGCAGCUCAAAAUGGGAGGUAAAUUCCUUCUAAAGCUAAAUAUUGGCGAGAGACCGAUAGCGAACAAGUACCGUGAGGGAAAGAUGAAAAGCACUUUGGAAAGAGAGUUAAACAGUACGUGAAAUUGUUAAAAGGGAAACGCUUGAAGUCAGUCGCGUUUGCUUGGACUCAGCCUUGCCCCCUUUGGCUUGGUGCAUUUCCUUGUGGACGGGCCAGCGUUCAUGUUAUUUGCCGGAAAAGGGGCCGAAGGAAUGUGGCUCCUUCGGGAGUGUUAUAGCUUUCGCUCGUAUACGGGGAAUGAUAUGGAGUGGUACAGCACGUUUCUUAUGGUGCUUGUGCUGGCAUAAUGGCUUUAAACGACCCGUCUUGAAACACGGACCAAGGAGUCUAACAUGUCUGCAAGUGUUUGGGCGGAAAACCCGAGCGCGUAAUGAAAGUGAUAGGCUGGGAACCCCUUCUUGGGAGGCACCGGCGCCCCGAGCUGACCUUCUGUGACGCAUCGGAGGCAGAGCAUAUAUGUUGGGACCCGAAAGAUGGUGAACUAUGCCUGAAUAGGGCGAAGCCAGAGGAAACUCUGGUGGAGGCUCGUAGCGAUUCUGACGUGCAAAUCGAUCGUCAAAUUUGGGUAUAGGGGCGAAAGACUAAUCGAACCAUCUAGUA